AAGACCUUGCGCUUUUGGAGCGGCCGAUGCCUGAUUAGCUUGUUGGUAAGGUAAAGGCUUACCAAGGCUUCGAUCAGUAGCUGGUCUGAGAGGACGGCCAGCCACACUGGGACUGAGACACGGCCCAGACUCCUACGGGAGGCAGCAGUGGGGAAUUUUGGACAAUGGGGGAAACCCUGAUCCAGCCAUGCCGCGUGAGUGAAGAAGGCCUUCGGGUUGUAAAGCUCUUUCAGCCGGAACGAAACAGUUACGGAUAAUACCCGUGACUACUGACGGUACCGGAAGAAGAAGCACCGGCUAACUACGUGCCAGCAGCCGCGGUAAUACGUAGGGUGCGAGCGUUAAUCGGAAUUACUGGGCGUAAAGCGUGCGCAGGUGGUUUUGUAAGUCAGAUGUGAAAGCCCCGGGCUCAACCUGGGAACU
rnacentral:rRNA from 1 species